UCCUACGGGAGGCAGCAGUGGGGAAUAUUGGGCAAUGGGCGCAAGCCUGACCCAGCAACGCCGCGUGAAGGAAGAAGGCUCUCGGGUUGUAAACUUCUUUUAUCAGGGACGAAGAAGUGACGGUACCUGAUGAAUAAGCCACGGCUAACUACGUGCCAGCAGCCGCGGUAAUACGUAGGUGGCAAGCGUUAUCCGGAUUUACUGGGUGUAAAGGGCGUGUAGGCGGGGAAGCAAGUCAGAUGUGAAAUUCCAGGGCUCAACCCUGGAACUGCAUUUGAAACUGUUUUUCUU
rnacentral:rRNA from 1 species